UACGUAGGGGGCAAGCGUUGUCCGGAUUUAUUGGGCGUAAAGAGCGUGUAGGCGGUCAGGUAGGUCCGUUGUGAAAACUCGAGGCUCAACCUCGAGACGCCGAUGGAAACCAUCUGACUAGAGUCCGGAAGAGGAGAGUGGAAUUCCUGGUGUAGCGGUGAAAUGCGCAGAUAUCGGGAGGAACACCAAUGGCGAAGGCAGCUCGCUGGGACGGUACUGACGCUGAGGCGCGAAGGCCAGGGGAGCAAACGGG
rnacentral:rRNA from 1 species